rnacentral:rRNA from 1 species
ACCUCUCGACAAUGAAUAUCUCAGCUCUCGCAUCGAUGAAGAAGGUAGCGAAAUGCGAUGCUUGGUGUGAAUUGCAGAAUCCCUUGAACCAUCGAGUCUUUGAACGCAAGUUGCGCCCGAAGCUGUUUGGCCGAGGGAACGUCUGCCUGGGCGUCA